CGUCAUGGUGGCUGUGCGCGGGGCGCCUUCGUGCGCGCCGGGUUGCCUGGAGACCGGUCUACCAACCCACGUACAGCCGCCACCUUU
rnacentral:antisense_RNA from 1 species